ensembl:lncRNA
GAGAGAUGUCUGGCAGCAGAAACACCAGGUGGAGUUUCCCGACUGAGAGCUGAGCGCCAGCUGCCCUCAUCCUGACACUGAGAGAGGUCAAGAGGAUAAUCCUCAGUGCUACACGAGGCUAAGAGGUGUAUUUUCACCUCUGGGCAGAAGGAGCAGCACGAGCACUUGCAGAGUGGUGCUUUGGAGGAGAGCACUGGGUCAGCUGCUCAGCGCAUUGCACGCCGGACUGCUUUGGCUAUCAGACAGGAUCUAAAAGAAGACAUAGCUGUGAAAGGUGAUGUCCCUCGCAGUAAUACAGCAUGGAACUCCUUGGGCUGCAUAGGAAGUCCCUCCUACAGACAAGGACAAGAAGAGGACAAAGAAGAAACAAUGAUAAAUCUGAGCAGAUGACAGUGACCAUUCAGCAAACAAGGUGGUGCCCCCCCAUAACACAGAGUAUUUGUUGGUUACAUAUAGCACAGUGCUCAGUCAAUGCAGGCUGUGUUAACAAAAGCUCACCAAUUCACUGGUCACAUGUCCUAGGAGUUAUGGGAGACUGGAAAGUUGCCUGGUUCAUAUGGGGUGUGCAUAUACAUAUAUAAAGUCUUAUGAAUUUACAUGUGCAUUUGUGUCUGUGUACUGUGACUCUGUUUUAUAAUCAGCAGUGAUCGUUUGCUCCUUGAGGCUGGCAUCCUGUGUGUACUUGGGCGGACUCCAUUGCGCUUUAUUUCAGGAGAGCUCCUGUAAUGUGAAAAGUGCAUCUUUAUGAGGAAAGUUAGACCUGCAGAAGGACACACAUUCUUCUCCUCGACUGGGCUUACAUCCCUGCGGCCAUUGGCCCCCCCAGCUCUCGUGCCAGGCACAGCGAGCAAUGCUGCAGACAGGCUGAUGGAUCCUUGUUUUGCCCUUGGAGCUGCCAGCGAGAGCACACUCAGAUUCUAUUCGACAGCAAACCAACAGGAUGUUUCUUAUUGCUACGGAAAGCUCCAGAAGAGUAGAUCCAGAGUGCACCGUUUUUGCAGUUGCCUGAUUUGAGAGGUGGGGCGGACCCAGGGCUUUCUGGGCUUGAUGUGGCAGAAGCCACCCGGUCGUACCGGGCAGGCCGUGCCACAGACCUCUGAGCACUUGCUUCCCUCACGACAGGUGUGUACAUCUGCAGUGCAGAUUAUGCAUGGGGCACAUUGUUAUUUGUUUCUUUUCUGCCUGGAAAAAUAUUUUCCUUUUAUGUAGCUCAGUGUCAUCUAAAUGAAUGAGUGCUGCCUUUCUGUCAUUUUGAAGCACAAGUAGAUUCUGCAGACACAUAUUGCAGCACAUAGCAUUCAGUGUUUAAGCUGUCUGUUUGAGCUCUACCCGAACACCGUGGCCUUGAGAUGAAUGCGUU